AUUGAACGCUGGCGGCAUGCUUUACACAUGCAAGUCGAACGGUAACAGGCCGCAAGGUGCUGACGAGUGGCGAACGGGUGAGUAAUGCAUCGGAACGUGCCCAGUCGUGGGGGAUAACGCAGCGAAAGCUGUGCUAAUACCGCAUACGAGCUAUGGAUGAAAGCGGGGGACCGUAAGGCCUCGCGCCAUUGGAGCGGCCGAUGUCAGAUUAGGUAGUUGGUGGGGUAAAGGCUCACCAAGCCAACGAUCUGUAGCUGGUCUGAGAGGACGACCAGCCACACUGGGACUGAGACACGGCCCAGACUCCUACGGGAGGCAGCAGUGGGGAAUUUUGGACAAUGGGCGCAAGCCUGAUCCAGCAAUGCCGCGUGCAGGAAGAAGGCCUUCGGGUUGUAAACUGCUUUUGUACGGAACGAAAAGGUUUGGGUUAAUACCCUGGGCCGAUGACGGUACCGUAAGAAUAAGCACCGGCUAACUACGUGCCAGCCGCCGCCGUAAUAC
rnacentral:rRNA from 1 species